CCCGCUUUAUUUUUAGUUCGGUUUAGGGGAUUGCCACAUUUUCUUGCUUUUUGUUGUUGCGGUUGCUAAUCCUGUGGGCAGACUGAUCGCUUCCUUGUAUUCUUGGCUUUCAUUUUGUUUACUUUAUUGGUGAAAAUACCAAAAUGCAAAAUCUUUUUUGUAUGUGUUGUUGUUCCCCCCCUCCCCCCUAUUUUCACUCUGUGCCAGCACUGGCACGAGUAAAUGGGAAGAUGCCACAAGUCAACUGCAGGUUACCAGAGCCUCUAACUGCGGCCUGGAGAAGCACAGCUGAAACCCAGCCCCGGGCCCUCCAGCUGUGGCAGGAGAAGGUCUCCCUGUGGGAACAGGUCUGCCCUCAGCAGUUCCCUCCACUCUUUCUGGCUAGGUUGCUGUUUGAGCGCAGCCAGUGCGUUGUUAACUAGCAAAAGACUGCUCACGUUGAAUUAUGAAUACAUAAAACAGCAGCGGGAUUUAAUUAGGCAGCUAUUCAGAAAGCAGGUGCUUCCUUUCUGGGUUUAAGUUACCAAAUUCAUCGGGGCAUUUCAACUUUGUGCAGUUGAAAUUCCCUGCUCCUGACGAACAAAGUCAUUUUCUCAGCUUUGGAGGCUGACAUCUGCUUGCAGAGAUUAACCGUGUUCCUAUAGCAGCUGGCACAGAUUUUCUUUGUGGAGGGGUUGUAUGGAAGAGAGCCUUAAGCCCCGGUACGAGUUGCUGCUCUCAGAUGGAAAUUGCUCUGCAGGUUUUGAAGAAGGUGCGUUUAUCAGAGGGAUGCCUGGCGGUGUUACAUCACCUGUGGGUUUGGGACGGGUUUGAAAGGGCUGGCUGUGCUGUUGGAUGGCGAUGGGAGGUCCUGUGUUCCUAUAAGUCACAGGGGAGACUUAUUCCACAAGGCGGAGAACAACCGCUUUAAAUGAAGAGCCAUCAGCGAGCACUUGCGUGGAGCUGUGUUUGCAGAUGGAGUGAAGACAGUCGGUCAGAGGGAACGACCCCGGAGCUACAGAGGACAACAAAUGUUUCCCAGCCUUCCUACUGUAACACCCUGAUGUGAGUAACAACCGGGGUGGUUUGUUGGGGGUCUUUCUCUUUUGGUAAAUAAACUUUCCUGCGCAUCCAUUUGCAGCUGCCGCUCACCCCUCUUUUGCUCUGCUUAUGUGUGCGUUCCUUUCCUGGCCGUAGGGCAGUGCUGCACAGCCUGCAGAAGAGACUGAGUGGUCUCUCAGGAAUAAAAACGUGAAGGCUGCUCUGUAAUACGAAAUAGAACGCGCAGUAAAAUGUUUACGUGAGAAACCAUGUCAGCAGCUGCAUCUUUUUAU
rnacentral:lncRNA from 1 species